UUUACUUUAUUAUUUAUUCAGUUUGUAAUAAAUAAGACAAAUUUGUGACAUCACGUCACACCGGAGUGGUACAGUAAACAAACAAUACAGAAGUUGGCUGUGGUGUCAGUCACGCAGGUUAUCGAUAAAUAUGUCUGCUUUAUUGCCGGAGACGGAUAGUGAAGAUGAACUUGCACCAGGAUGGGAGGAGAGAGCAACUUUAGAUGGGAAAGUUUAUUAUGCUAAUCAUGAAAGUAAGACAACACAGUGGACACAUCCAAGAACAGGAAAAAAGAAGAGAGUAGCAGGAGAACUUCCAUAUGGAUGGGAGAAAAAGAUUACUGAAGAUGGACAUGUAUUUUAUGUAGAUCACAUAAACAAAAAGACGACAUACACCGAUCCUCGUCUAGCAUUUGCUGUUGAAGAAAAAGAAUCUUCGGAUGAUAUUCGCCAGAGAUUUGAUGCUAGUACAAAUGCUCUGCAAAUUCUCCAUGGACGUGAUUUGAGUGGAAAAAUUGUCAUAGUAACAGGAUCUAAUUGCGGAAUAGGGUUUGAAACGGCUAGAUCUUUAUCUUUUCAUGGAGCCGAAGUGAUCAUGGCAACCCGCAGCAAAGAAAAGACGGAGUGUGCAAUUUCGACCAUUAAACAGGAAAGGCCUCAUGCAAAGUUAGAAUGGAUUCAUUUAGACCUUUCAUCCUUAAGAAGUGUAGAAAAAUUUGUGGAAGAUUUUCGAUCACGUUACAGUGCUCUUCAUAUAUUGAUACUGAAUGCGGGCGUAUUUAGUCCUCCUUUCACUCUCACCGAAGAUAACUUUGAGAGCACCUUUCAAAUUAACCAUCUUAGCCAUUUUUAUUUGACCAAGCUUCUAGAACCCGAAAUGAUUCAAGCCGGUUCCUGUAGAGUCGUAGUGGUGUCCUCCGAAAGUCACAGAUUUAGUUACCUAACUAAGGAAAACUUGUCUGAAGAGAAACUUUCUCCUACAGUUUAUAAAAAUUACGUGGGUCUAAGAGCUUACAACAACUCAAAAUUGUGUAAUGUCUUGUUUAGUAACGAAUUGAAUAGAAGAUUGUCACCCAAAGGCAUAUAUUGUAAUUCGCUUCACCCAGGAAAUAUGGUCAGCAGCUAUCUUUCGAGACAGUGGUGGCUCUACAGACUGCUUUUUGCACUCGUUAGACCGUUCACCAAAUCUCUGCAACAGGCAGCUUCUACAAGUAUAUACUGUGCCACGGUACCCGAAUUAGAAGGCGUCGGAGGAAUGUACUUUAACAACUGUUGCAGAUGUCAGCCAUCCGCAGCUACCGAAGACAAAGAACUGGCUGAAUUGCUGUGGAACAUGAGCGAAGCAAUGAUCAAAAAAGCCCUAGAAAGUCAUUGACAUUGUUACUAUAGUGUACACAAGUUUCAAAGCAGAUGCAUGUCUAAUGCCAUGAUGAUAUAAAGAAUUUAUCUAUUGGAAUAUUCUGUUCUGCAACAGAUUCCUAUAAACUUGGCAUAUACCAGUGAUACUCUGUCUGCUGUACAGAUGCCUUUGCUUUCUACAACAAAACAACUAUAGCAGAUAAUAUCAGUCAAUGCCUCCAGGCAGCUAUUUUUUAUCUGAUACCCACAAACUCCAUUCGGGCAGAAAAACAUUUUUGUCUAGCAUUUUAAGUAAUGUCCUUGGAUUGUAAAUGAAUAAAUUGUUUAUUUUUUGCAAUCUAAAAACAUUAGUAAUAGCAGUUACUAUCAGUUCAAGUACAGUGGCAGACAAAAAUAUAAAGAGAAGUCUGGUGAUUAGCACAAAAAACAAAUGGGGUCCCUGUUCCAGUCAGCUCAACACACCUUUUGUUAUCACUAUAUUUUUGUCAAGAAACAAGUACAGAGGAGCACAAGCACUAAUGAUUAUCUUUUCCUUUCAAAAUACAGCAUUAAGGAAGAAUGUCAAUUGCUAAAAUGGUGCCUAUUUCUUGUUUUGGAUUUAAUGUACAAAUUUAUAAC
rnacentral:misc_RNA from 1 species